rnacentral:rRNA from 1 species
UGGGGAAUAUUGCACAAUGGGCGCAAGCCUGAUGCAGCCAUGCCGCGUGUAUGAAGAAGGCCUUCGGGUUGUAAAGUACUUUCAGGCGGGAGGAAGGUGUCAAGGUUAAUAACCUUGGCAAUUGACGUUACCGACAGAAGAAGCACCGGCUAACUCCGUGCCAGCAGCCGCGGUAAUACGGAGGGUGCAAGCGUUAAUCGGAAUAACUGGGCGUAAAGCGCACGCAGGCGGUUGAUUGAGUCAGAUGUGAAAUCCCCGGGCUUAACCCGGGAAUUGCAUCUGAUACUGGUCAUCUAGAUUCUUGUAGAGGGGGGUAGAUUUCCAUGUUUAGCGGUGAAAUGCGUAGAGAUGUGGAGGACUACCGGUGGCGAAGGCGGCCCCCUGGACAAAGACUGACGCUCAGGUGCGAAAGCGUGGGGAGCAAACAUG